CAUCGGAGAGCGGGAAUCGAAUGUUUUUAUAGCCACAUCAUUUCACCUGCUAUGUCUCAUGGACACAAGACUGGUAGACAGUUUGAUCUUUGACAAUACCCUCCCUCGACUACGACUGCUCAUCGAUGGUCAUGUCCUCCGGAUCAUGUGGUUUGGGAUGUCGAAAAUUCGCCGGGUCAUGAAUCACCGGCCGGCGCAGAGAACUAUUGUAGCUUCAUCGAGGGGACGGGAUUUAGAACCGGCUCGUUCAAGGUUAUGAGGUUAUCCCCUCUAGGCAAGGAUCGGUUGAGCAGCUUCUUGGAACUGCUGGCGUCGACUUGUUGGUGACUUCGAGAGGUACCGAGAGAAAAGCCGGACUUUUUACAGCCCAAAAUUGACUGGAUGGAAGCAACAAAAGGCUGGUGACAGAAUCUCAUCCUAGGGAGAGCAAUUCGAUGUGUCAGUAAGUGUUGAUAUAACUCUUCACGACUGACCUCCAGUGGCUAGUAUGCAUCGAAAAUCACGCCAUUGCGCUUGUGAAGUUCGCUGAUCCUUCUAGAUCUCGAAUAUGCUUGACAUCUCUAGCAAUGGGGGAGAGGAAAAAGGCAGUCCCAGGUGAAUAAUUCGACAACUGCCGACCAGCAUGCCAUGUAUCAAGCUAUGCCGCUAAGGUGUGUUGGUGACCAUGAUGGAUGAGAUUUGAUUUUGGCGGGUGGCAUGUUGGGUUUCGGUGAGAGCAUUCAAGGCCUUCGGGGCAUUCCAAUUGAAGAUUCCGAGUCGCUCAAGUCACUGCAUGGCCUGUGUUUCACCAUGCGCGCAAAGACUGCAGUGUUGGCCGGAUGAUGUAUCCGCGAUAGGUGAACUUUGCGCUGCCGCUCAAUCCGAUUUGCUUCUUUCGCAGAUGACAAGAGGGAAUUGAAGACAAGAUGUGUUGUC